UUUAAGAGGUUAAACUCAAUUGGCUUGAGUGAAGCCACGCCCUCUCAUAAGUGAAGAACAGGAAUAUUCCGGUUUUUCCAGGUUGCCUGAAAAAAUGUAGUCACGUAGUUUUCUUAGACGGUGAACAAGCUGUAUUACAAAGAGCAAAAGGUUUUUUCUUUUGGAGAUACACCGAAAUAUUAAAGAAAUAUUCAGAGAGCGAGACAACAUUGGUUGUGAUGGCUGAACGUUUUUUCCUGCUACUAGUCACCCAUGAGGCACGGAGCAGCCGCGUGAGCACAUUUUGACCAGAGGUCAGGUCCUUUUAGCGGGAACCUAAACUUCCUGGAGCUGCAUUCGAAUAUCGUUGGAUGUCGAUGCUGGAACUGGCGUGAACAGGAAGUUGGGGGAGGUACUCAAUGGAAGGGUAAAUACCAGUGACCUCAGCAGACCAGCUAAUCAUCCACAUCCCACCAGUUUGCAAGUGGACCAACCUUUGUGAAGAACUUGUGGCCACGGAUAUUCUGCGGUGACGGGCGAUCCCGUGGGUCGAUUUGAAAUAUUUUGCCCAUCAGUUUCCCAGCUUCAAUACCGAGGUUCUGGGGUAGAAUAAAUUUAGCUUCUUUGAUGUUCUUUAUCAUUUCACAGCGAUCGUCGUGAUCGAAUGGGAUUUCCCCAACCAGAAGCUGGUACCUGUAGUAAGAAAGGCAGCAAAGGUGUUUGAGGUCUUUCACAUUUGACAUAAAAAUGCUGUGCUUCCAAAAGAGCAAUUCCUCUCAACUGUGUGCCAGUAUUCAUUUUUCUUUUCUAUUUCAAGUAGAAAAAAAAAACAUAUUUAUGUAUGUUAGACGCAUGUCUUCUUAAAAUGUUAGACAGAUUUUAUUAGCCAUGCUGAUCUUUGGCCGGGAGGAGGGUUGAUAGGGUAUACGUACAUGACACAGCCCAGUGCCCAGACUUCUGCUUCCGUUCCAUGGCCCUCUCGUUUCCACACUUCUGGAGCCAUGUAACAUGGAGUACCACACACUUUUCUACAACACACACAAAUGGAAAACGUUAAGCGCACAUGUGCUUUAGCUUGCUGUAUAAACAAAUUUGAAAGCUUAGCCAGGAAUUCUGCAAAAAACACCUACUUGUCCCUCGGCUCCAGCUUGACCGCCAGUCCAAAAUCCCCGAUUUUCAGUUUCAUUUUGUCACUGACAAAUAAGUUUUCUGAAAGACAAACAAAUUUGCAUUAAGGAUAGACUCAAAUACUUUGCCAAACUGCAGACUUUACCAAAUUGAUAAAUGAACACUACACAGAAAUCCAGACGAGCUACACUCGCAAUGCCAUGUGAAAUGCCAGCAUUAUUAAACAGAGAAUUGAGUAAAGCGUGAGUGCAUGUACACAUAUCGAACUAGAUUUCCCUAUGGACAUAAUAUUGCCGGUAGAUGUGUUUUAUCCCCGAUAUCAGCUGUUGAAUGUAAUAGCGGACUUCGGGGUCAAUCAGAGUCCCGCGAGCUUUCAGGAUGUCACCAAGUGUCUGGGCAGGGAGAAACAGGGGCAGCCUGAUCCAUCACAAAGUCUUUGCCUUAGUAAGACGUCUAUAAAAGUCAGGGACUCACCUGCCUACUGCACAACUCCAUGAAAAUAUACAUGAACAGAUCGUCUUCAAAAGAAUGGGAGAAGCCCACAACGUUCUUGUGCCGUGGUUUUUUUCAAAAUUUCCACUUCUUGACACACCUGAGUGAAAUAUCAAACACACCAUCUCAUCAAGUACUGUAACAGGGAAAUGCAGAUAAACUGCAAAGAGGGAUGACAUUAAGCACAAUCCAUACCACAUACCUCCUCCAGUCCCCAGGAAUGUGGAGGUAUGACCAUCACAGCAAAGGUGUCACCACUUUCAAGGUCGGUCAUCUUGUAGCACUUGCCACAAGCACCCUAAAGAACAUGUCAAUAAAGGGCAUUUCUGACUGACCCUGUUCAAGCAUCUCCUCUCCGCAGAAAAAGAUCAACUGUAAUCACUUUCAACAACAACUUUGUGGUGCACACCUGUCCCAAAAGCGGCCAAGACAGCUGGGCAAUUUGAACUUGCUAGAUGGAUUACAUCACCACAUUGAAAAUUCCAUGGACGGAAAAAGAGGUGAACUUGCUAAGACAUUGCAACAAAACACGGAUAAAAACUUUCAUUACAAUCAACUUCAUUGAAGAAAAAAAACCCAUCUCCGUUAUGUACACCAAACAUUCAGUUUCGGUAAUGCAGUAACACAUGCUCAGGAAUAAAGACUUUUAUGUAGUGUGCAGUGACUAUCACAUCAUAUGUUACUGCGGCUCUUUAGGCACUCAGCUAUCGGUCUCACUUUGUCAUACAGAACAGGGAUUCAUUUCCUGGUGAAAAACUUCCUAUGUGGUAUGUGAUACCUCAGCUCCAAGAUGUGGAGCAGUUAUCUAUUACACCGUAAGGCUGGAUAUUUUUACAAAUAAAGGCAGCAAUGGUGUCGGUUAUUGCCUUAGAACGAGCUGUUAGCUGGCAGGGUGUGAAAAUUAGGGCGUUUAUUUUUUUUAAAGAGUUUUGUGUUAUUUGAAAGCAUUGUGAAAUGUAAAAAAAAAAACAGUAAUGAUAUGAUGAAAAUGGGAAUACUGACGUUGACAAUGCCAAUAUAAUAUUUUGGUAUGUUAAGGCAUGUUUGUUCUCUGCUUUAAAGAAAGGGGGAUGUGUUGAUAUGUAGUGCAGUACCUUUGGUGACCAGCAGAGAGACCUGGAGGGUUGGGAGGAGGUAAAGACAAGGGGUAGGGAGACCGACGGCACAGAGCAGGUUGUGGGUUUGCAUGGAAGAUGUUGGUGGUUAAAUAAAAGUUCAUUGUUCAUGAAACAAGGUCUCUUCAAUGACAUAUGAACAACACAAUGUAUCUCUUCCUUCUCAUGAUAAUCUGACUCGCCAAACAUGCCUCCAGCUCGCGCGACGUGGCCGAGGGACUUGAGGAGAAUUAUACACUGACAGCAGUGGAGAUGAGAGCGCACUUGAAAUUAUCAGGUAAGAGAGGGUUAAUCGAGCAAAAUGUACAAUUAUUGGUCAGAAAAUGUCGGUCAAAUUUCUAAAUAAUUAUGGCGUACG